rnacentral:misc_RNA from 1 species
GAUGAAGAACGUAGCGAAAUGCGAUACGUAAUGUGAAUUGCAGAAUUCAGUGAAUCAUCGAAUCUUUGAACGCAUAUUGCGCUCUCUGGUAUUCCGGAGAGCAUGCUUGUUUGAGUAUCAGUAAACACCUCAACUUUCCAUAUCUUUUUUGAAAUGGGAGUUGGACUUGAGUGAUCCCAACGCUUUUCCUCACCGAAAAGUGGCGGGUUACUUGAAAUGCAGGUGCAGCUGGACUUUUCUCUGAGCUAUAAGCAUAUCUAUUUAGUCUGCCUAAAAAACAGAUUAUUACCUUUGCUGCAGCUAACAUAAAGGAGAUUAGUUCUUGUGCUGACUGAUGCAGGAUUCACAAAGACAGGCUUCGGCCGACUUUGUAAACUCGAUCUCAAAUCAAGUAAGACUACCCGCUGAACUUAAGCAUAUCAAUAAGCGGAGGA